CCUACGGGAGGCAGCAGUGAGGAAUAUUGGUCAAUGGACGAGAGUCUGAACCAGCCAAGUAGCGUGAAGGAUGACUGCCCUAUGGGUUGUAAACUUCUUUUAUAAAGGAAUAAAACGAGGCACGUGUGCCUUUUUGCAUGUACUUUAUGAAUAAGGAUCGGCUAACUCCGUGCCAGCAGCCGCGGUAAUACGGAGGAUCCGAGCGUUAUCCGGAUUUAUUGGGUUUAAAGGGAGCGUAGAUGGGUUGUUAAGUCAGUUGUGAAAGUUUGCGGCUCAACCGUAAAAUUGCAAUUGAUACUGGCAGUCGUGAGUACAGUUGAGGUAGGCGGAAUUCGGGGUGUAGCGGUGAAAUGCUUAGAUAUCACGAAGAACCCCGAUUGCGAAGGCAGCUUACUAAACUGUGACUGACAUUGAUGCUCGAAAGUGUGGGUAUCAAACAGGAUUAGAUACCCGUGUAGUC
rnacentral:rRNA from 1 species